AUUGAACGCUGGCGGCAGGCCUAACACAUGCAAGUCGAGCGAGCGGCGGACGGGUGAGUAAUGUAUGGGGACUGCCCGAUAGAGGGGGAUAACUACUUGAAACGGUGGCUAAUACCGCAUACUAUCGGAUAACCCAUAUGGGAUUAGCUAGUAGGUAAGGUAUUGGAUUUCCUAGGCGACGAUCCCUAGCUGGUCUGUGAGGAUGAUCAGCCACACGGGGACGGAGACAGGGCCCAGAGUCCUACGGAGGCAGCAGUGGGGAUUAUUGCACAAGGGGCGCAAGCCUGAUGCAGCCAUGCCGCGUGUAUGAAGAAGGCCCUAGGGUUGUAAAGUACUGUCAGUCGGGAGGCGUUACCGACAGAAGAAGCACCGGGUAACUCCGUGCGAGCCGCCGCGGUAAUAC
rnacentral:rRNA from 1 species